rnacentral:rRNA from 1 species
AUUGAACGCUGGCGGCAGGCCUAACACAUGCAAGUCGAGCGGAUGAGGGGAGCUUGCUCCUGGAUUCAGCGGCGGACGGGUGAGUAAUGCCUAGGAAUCUGCCUGGUAGUGGGGGAUAACGUCCGGAAACGGGCGCUAAUACCGCAUACGUCCUGAGGGAGAAAGUGGGGGAUCUUCGGACCUCACGCUAUCAGAUGAGCCUAGGUCGGAUUAGCUAGUUGGUGGGGUAAAGGCCUACCAAGGCGACGAUCCGUAACUGGUCUGAGAGGAUGAUCAGUCACACUGGAACUGAGACACGGUCCAGACUCCUACGGGAGGCAGCAGUGGGGAAUAUUGGACAAUGGGCGAAAGCCUGAUCCAGCCAUGCCGCGUGUGUGAAGAAGGUCUUCGGAUUGUAAAGCACUUUAAGUUGGGAGGAAGGGCAGUAAGUCAAUACCUUGCUGUUUUGACGUUACCAACAGAAUAAGCACCGGCUAACUUCGUG